rnacentral:rRNA from 1 species
AUUGAACGCUGGCGGCAUGCUUUACACAUGCAAGUCGAACGGUAACAGGGAGCUUGCUCCGCUGACGAGUGGCGAACGGGUGAGUAAUGCAUCGGAACAUGCCCAGUCAUGGGGGAGUAACUACGCGAAAGCGUAGCUAAUACCGCAUACGCCCUCGAGGGGGAAAGGUAGGGGAGUCUUAGGACCUCACGUGAUUGGAGUGGCCGAUGUCAGAUUAGCUAGUUGGUGAGGUAAAGGCUCACCAAGGCGACGAUCAGUAGCUGAUGUGAGAGCAUGAUCAGCCACACGGGCACUGAGACACGGGCCCGACUCCUACGGGAGGCAGCAGUAAGGAAUAUUGGUCAAUGGACGCAAGUCUGAACCAGCCAUGCCGCGUGGAGGAUGAAGGUCCUCUGGAUUGUAAACUUCUUUUAUCUGGACGAAACACUUCUUUCUAAGGAGCCUGACGGUACCAGAUGAAUAAGCACCGGCUAACUCCG